ACUCAAAUGAAUUGACGGGGGCCCGCACAAGCGGUGGAACAUGUGGUUUAAUUCGACAAUACGCGAGGAACCUUACCUGGGUUUGACAUGCUAAUGACAUCUCCUUAAUAGGAGCUUUCGGUAGCAAUAUCGACAUUAGCACAGGUGCUGCAUGGCUGUCGUCAGCUCGUGUCGUGAGAUGUUGGGUUAAGUCCUUUAACGAGCGCAACCCUUGCUGUUAGUUGCUACUUUAUUGAGCACUCUAGCAGGACUGCCUGGGAAACCAGGAGGAAGGUGGGGAUGACGUCAAGUCCGCAUGGCCCUUAUGUCCAGGGCUACACACGUGUUACAAUGGUUGGUACAAAGGGGAGCAAAGUCGCGAGGCGGAGCAAAUCCUGAAAGCCAAUCUAAGUUCAGAUUGCAGUCUGAAACUCGACUGCAUGAAGUUGAAAUCGCUAGUAAUCGUAUAUCAGAACGAUACGGUGAAUACGUUCCCGGGCCUUGUACACACCGCCCGU
rnacentral:rRNA from 1 species